AAUGAACGCUGGCGGCAGGCUUAACACAUGCAAGUCGAACGAGUGGCGGACGGGUGAGUAAUGUCUGGGAAACUGCCCGAUGGAGGGGGAUAACUAGUGGAAACGGUAGCUAAUAACGCAUACCAUAGGAUGUGCCCAGAUGGGAUAGGCUAGAAGGUGGGUGAACGGCUCACCUGGGCGACGAUCCCUAGCUGGUCUGAGAGGAUGACCAGCCCCACUGGAACUGGGACACGGUCCAAACUCCUACGGGAGGAAGCAGGGGGGAUUAUUGCACAAUGGGGGCAAGCCUACUGCAGCCAUCCCGCGUGUUUGAAGAAGGCCUUCGGGUUUUAAAGUACUUUCAGCGAGGAGGCGUUACUCGCAGAAGAAGCACCGGCUAACUCCGUGCCAGCAGCCGCGGUAAUUC
rnacentral:rRNA from 1 species